AGAGCAAGCGAGCUCAUCGCCUCAAUAUUGAGGAGGAAAGUCCGGGCAGCACAGAGUACCGUACUUCUUAAUUGGAAGUCUUUUUUUUAAAGGAGAUAGUGCAACAGAAAAUAUACCGUCUUGAUUUUUUCGAGAUAAGGGUGAAAAGGUGAGGUAAGAGCUCACCGGUCUCAGCGUGAGUUGAGGCGCAUUGUAAACCUUACGGGCUGAAAGGUCAAAUAGAUCUUGCGAUCAAGAGUUACUCGCUCAUGCAAGAAGGGUAGACCGUUCGAUUCCAAUGGUAAUUUUGGAACUAGAUAAAUGAUGGGACAGUAUUAAGAAUUAUCUUAAUAGAGUACAGAACCCGGCUUAUUUGCUUGUUUAAUUU
rnacentral:RNase_P_RNA from 1 species